rnacentral:pre_miRNA from 1 species
UCUUCAUUUCGCACAAUCUCUCACCGAUCAGAGAGGUGAGAGAGUGUGCAAAGUGAGGAGA